UUCUUGCGUCGAUACUUCGCCGCGAAAUUAAAUGAUUCCAGGGUAUGGCUUUCUGGUUUUUCAGUCCCUCUUACUUCUGUGUUUUAUCUUUAAUCGUUUUACGAAUAUGUAAACAUUUCAGGACAUGCGAUUCAUAUUACAAGGGGUUUCGUACUAAGUACGUGUAAAGUGAAAGCUAUUCUCCAGAUAUUGAGAAAUCGUACGCAAUAUCGGCGAACAUAUCCACCGUAUGAUAAGUUGAAACCUGAAUUCCGUACAUCUUCUUCGUUUUCUGAAAAGUAAUAGAUGCUCGAAGAAUUACGAUACAAUCAGAAUUUUACGAAACCAGCUGAUAUUUCAGACGGUGGAUGUCUAAGCACGCUAAUUCAUAUUCUUAGGGACACAACGACAGAAAGUUUCUUUCGAAACGAAACGAUCCCUUUUCAUCGAUUAAACGUACCAAAUAUUAUAAUAAUGUGUAAUAACAACGAGAAUUCUUUACCUAUUUCACAUGCACCUUCUGUAUAUUUGCACACUUUUGAGUCUCCUAUGAAAGCAUAAGUAUCUAACAGUCUAUUUACCAGCAAAUUACUGGACAAUUUUCUCUCGGUAUCCUAGCCGCCAGCAUCAGAUUCCUCUUCCUCGGCGUUUUCUAAUCCGCUCAUGGGGGACAAACUUUCCCUCUCUUAUAUAACUGGACGUUGGACUGCGGGAAUCAAAACGGUGCGGCUCUUUUUGCGGUGACGUGUCCCGGGCACCUUGGAAGUAUAGUCGAAAAGAGUCGGGGCGAAAUGUUUUACGGCUGUGCCGUGACUUUUUGUCGUCGGCAUCGAUGAUUUCGGUGGGAGAGAACAACGAAGAAAGCACGAGUCCCUGAGAGCGUGGCAGCGCUAUAUCGGCCCCCAUUAAGCUCUUAUUAAUUGCGAGCAUCUGAGGGGCCGACCGACCUUUCUUGCGCGCUACCUGCGCGCCAUUCUGCCUCCGUUCCCUCUUGCCGGCCGCCGCAAACGAUGCUGCACUCUCGGCCUUCCAACUUUGAUGUCGAGUCGAUCCUCCUGCGACGAGAUUUAUCAUGUAAAUCGCGGAUAAAAAGCCCGCUCAUCCUCCCCUCUGCUGCAACCUACUGGUCACCGGGCAGGCGUUCUCCUCUUUUUUCUUCCGUGUUUUCGGCACCGUGCACGAUUCUAUCGGAUCGUGUAGCUGUGGAUCGAUCGGUUGCUCGCAAAGGGUGAAGAAACUCGGUUCGGAAUUGAGCAUUGCACGCGUGUUAUAAAGUUUGUUAGCACGAGAUCGGUGGAAUUCGACGCUGGCGUGGGAAACGAACGUGUAUGGCGGAGUUGUAACUACGCUAAACUACCAUAGCGUUAGAAAAAUAGAGAAUGAGCGUUUUUGCGAGGGAAGAAUGUAGAUUCUUCGGUCAUAGCGACUCUAUCCUUUCUACCCUUACAAUUUUAUCAACCCCUGCUUGAUAAACCUCCGAUAAUUCUGCCUUAAAUAACGACUACGGUUCUUACGACUAUGCAAGAGUUGCGUAAUUUAUCAAAAUUCUGGAAAAUCCGAAAGGAAAGAGGAAUCACGGAGGGAAGAAUAUUCACGUGACGCGAUUUGCCAGCACGUUGGAAGGCAAAUGCAAGGUACAGAGGCCGCUACGCGGAGUGCAGCUGCAGCACGCCGUGGAAGCACCACGCCCAUCGUGAUUGCAGAGACCACUCCCAUCUGUCUGCACGUCGUUGCAAGCAGCACGCCUUCCGUUUUACCUCGGUAGCCAGUCACGCGAUUUCAUGUAACACGUCCGUAACUUUUGAUACAACGUUCUACCACGCUCGAGAAUUUCCGUGUCUCCGACCGAGCUUUAUUUUUAUCGUGCGCCCUGACGUUCCCUCGAGGGAUGCGUUUGCUAGUCGCGAACGGUGUCGUCGCGUUGGUGAUGUCUUCCGUAAUGGGAAAUCCGAUUCCUCUUCGUGUUCUUCGGUUGCCUCGUUUUUUCUUAUUUUACCGAAUGUCUCGGAUAUUUGAUGCGGUUGAUAACACGUGACGUUAAUAUAGCAUUCGAUGGGGUUGAUAGUGAGUGAUACGAUUGUCAGUGUAAUUUAUGCUUAGAGCGAUUUAUGUGAUCAAAGAUAGUGUCGUUUCGUGUCACUUUUUCCGCUUGUUCGUUUUACAUCAAUUCGUUGAUUAUUGGUUUUAUUAGAUCCUCGAUUCUAUGUCUUUUUAAUUGUCUGACGCGCGUUCGCUUUGACAGUUCACACCGUGGCUGUCAAGCGACUUUGACGUUCCACUGUCAGCGACUGUCAAAUGCUGCCAACGAUAUUUUAAGACUAUUUUUCUGGAAUUGUAGCGUUGCAGUUACAUAUAUUUACAGAUGUUUAGCUUAUUUCGACCGAUCAGCUGCCGUUCGAUCAAAAUAAACCUCGCGUUGCUGGUAUAUUCUUUAAAACAAUUCCCAGUAUGAGAAAAUAUUUCGAUCGUCGACGUGGAAAAUUGUACGAUAUAAAAUGGAAGAAACGGGUGUUAACCUUCUCGAAGUUUCUUUCUUAUUUAACUCGUAUUCCACAUGAAUUUAAAACAAAAAUUUAUAAACGCAAGAUUCUUUGCUGUUUGUUUAUAAAAAUUAUUAUGCAAAGUAUUUACGCGAUACUUAUAGGGUUGUUUUAAAAUAUAAAGCAAGUGUUGAGGGUUUGUAGCGAAGGAGAGAGAGCGGUAUGCCAUGGUCAGGCUCCACGUAUGUUGAAUUCAAGCGAUGAAAAUCGAUACUAGAGCUUCGCUUUAGCAUUCUCAUCCCUCUCGCUGUCACGGAUUCGAUACGCCAUGGCUUCAACCCUCUUUCGGUAGCCAUUUUGGACAUUUCAGCUUGACGAUCACGUAUUAAAGAAAGCGAUCUCCUGCAAUGUAUUACUUUCGAAAGAAUUCUAAUACCAAAAGAAGCCGAAACUACUUAGCUUGAAACGUUACAAAUGUCUUCGAUAAUCUCUGAAACACGAGCCAUUUCGUGACGCAUAAUUUUCCAAACGUUUUUAAACCUCUUCUCCAACUUCUCCGAGAGAAAAUUAAUUUCCAAACGCGUGCUCCUCUUGAAAUUCACGAAAAAUUUCGUCGGUGCGUACGGGACAUUUCACGGAGAAAUCCUACGAAAAAUUUUGGCGUUGCUUUGGCCGAGAGACUGCCAGGGACGAACGGGCCGAGAUUUAGGGCCAAUUUAGGAAACGCUUACAUUCGCACGCGCGCGCCUCGCUGCAGGGGCGCAGAUUGAGAGUUGGUUCGCGGAUCGGACCGACCAAACGAGUUUUCAAGAAUUUACUCGCCGGAAUGCCGGCAACGCUCACUAUUCUAACUGGCGUGUGCUACCGUAAGGGCCCUGUGCACGCUCGCUGUUUCCAAGUAGCCGCGACCUCGUCGUCAAACAUCGAUUCUGGAAAUUAAUGAAUAAAUAAGGAAGGACUUGCUUGGCUGUGUCCGCUUUCUUCGCCACGAACGAAUAUCGAUUCCACGAUCGAAGGAGUCGGCCCGAAAAACCACAUCGACCAUCCAGCAGCCAGAUUUCGGGCCAUUUUGCCGAAGUAGGUCUCGAGUCUCAAGUGCAAGAUUCCAAAGACCUUUACUGGUUCUAGAAGCGAGCCACGGAGUCUCGUGGGUCGAACUAAUUCGCAACAUCCGGUGGGUGAAUCCGCGAAAAAGAGAGACACGAGCUCGAAAUCCGCGACCAACGAUCGGAAGAACAACGAAAACUGUCAGCGCUCGGACGAACGUAGCGACAAAAUGGCGAACAUGGGUGCGCUCGUGGAACGUCAUCGAGGAGGGACGAGCGUAGUUGUAAACGACGCAAACGUGAUAUUAGCGUGCUAGGAGAUGAUUCAUCCGCUGAUUUUCCGAGCUGAGACGAGAGCCGGCGGAUGAGAGGAACGAACUUUUGUUAUACGGCCGGACGAACGUACGCGAAGAAUCGUUCAGCCCGCAUCGAAAAAGUGUACAUAGUGUUACCUAAUUUACUUUAAGGAUCUACUAUUAGCGUACAAUUCAGAUAGUAUUAGAGGAGGAAUACUUUGCGCGCACUAUUACCUUCAUAGUGACUGAUGAUAUACCUAUGUCCGACCGACGCGAUCGCUGGAACAACAGAGCCUCUAGUUCGUAUAAAGUGUAGAGAAUUAGGCCACCGACAGGCGUGUCUAAAUUUUCCAAAUAAUUAGAAAAGAAGAAGAAGAAGAAGAAGAAGAAAAAGAAGAAGAAGAAAAAGGAUUCGAUAGAUCGUAACGAUACGAAACGAUCGUUGAUAGAAAAGAAUUCAAAGGGAGAGAUCUAUGUUCCUUGAAUAAUAUUAUCAACCUGUAGAAUGUAUCAUUUCCGUUGAAUAAAAUGAAUUGAUAGGAUUCGUUGAAUUUAUCACGAUGGUUAACUUAUUGAAGGAAGAUAGAAAUCGGAGAGGAAGAUCAAAGGAUUAAUUAUUUGGCGAAUUUGACUGCAGAUUUAAGUGAAAUAUUUAUUGACCAAUGAUCUUGCCAUAUAUAUAUAAUAAAUAUAUAUAUAUAUACAUUACUAUUAUUAUUGUAUCAUAACACCGGACGCUGCAGAAAUUCUGAAAUCUCUCCAAGUCAGCAAAUUAAAAAUAGUUAUUACCCGAAUUGUCACAAUUAUUCUUUACAUCCUUCCCCAUAGAAUUAAUAAAUCAUAUCGUGAACACGAAGAAACACACCCACACACACACACACAUACGCGCGCGCGCGCACACACACACGUUACAUGCACGCACGCACAACCGACAUUUUGCCUAGCGGAUUAUUCUACCUUAAGCGCAUCUCAUGUUAUCGUCAUCAUAGGUGUUAAAUAAAUGAUGCAUUAAUAUUACA